GGUGCGUAGGUGGCAUGAUAAGUUUGAUGUGAAAUCUCCGGGCUCAACCCGGAAAAUGCAUUGAAUACUAUCAGGCUGGAGGUUUGGAGGGGGGACUGGAAUUCUCGGUGUAGCAGUGAAAUGCGUAGAUAUCGAGAGGAACACCAGUGGCGAAGGCGAGUCCCUGGAUAACACCUGACACUGAGGCACGAAAGCUAGGGGAGCAAACAGGAUUAGAUACCCUGGUAGUCCUAGCCCUAAACGGUGCGCAUUUGCUGUAGGAGGAAUCGACCCCUUCUGUGGCGAAGCUAACGCGAUAAAUGCGCCGCCUGGGGAGUACGGUCGCAAGAUUAAAACUCAAAGAAAUUGACGGGGGCCUGCACAAGCGGUGGAGUAUGUGGCUA
rnacentral:rRNA from 1 species